rnacentral:rRNA from 1 species
ACGGGUGAGUAACACGUGGGUAACCUGCCCAUCAGAGGGGGAUAACAUUCGGAAACGGAUGCUAAAACCGCAUAGGUCUUCGAACCGCAUGAUUUGAAGAGGAAAAGAGGCGCAAGCUUCUGCUGAUGGAUGGACCCGCGGUGCAUUAGCUAGUUGGUGAGGUAACGGCUCACCAAGGCCGUGAUGCAUAGCCGACCUGAGAGGGUGAUCGGCCACAUUGGGACUGAGACACGGCCCAAACUCCUACGGGAGGCAGCAGUAGGGAAUCUUCCGCAAUGGACGCAAGUCUGACGGAGCAACGCCGCGUGAGUGAAGAAGGUUUUCGGAUCGUAAAACUCUGUUGUUAGAGAAGAACAAGUGCUAGAGUAACUGUUAGCACCUUGACGGUAUCUAACCAGAAAGCCACGGCUAACUACGUGCCAGCAGCCGCGGUAAUACGUAGGUCCCGAGCGUUGUCCGGAUUUAUUGGGCGUAAAGCGAGCGCAGGCGGUUAGAUAAGUCUGAAGUUAAAGGCUGUGGCUUAACCAUAGUACGCUUUGGAAACUGUUUAACUUGAGUGCAAGAGGGGAGAGUGGAAUUCCAUGUGUAGCGGUGAAAUGCGUAGAUAUAUGGAGGAACACCGGUGGCGAAAGCGGCUCUCUGGCUUGUAACUGACGCUGAGGCUCGAAAGCGUGGGGAGCAAACAGGAUUAGAUACCCU